UACAGAGGCCUCGAGCGUUAGGCGGAAUCACUGGGCUUAAAGCGUGUGUAGGCGGAGUGCUAAGUACCUUGUGAAAUCCCACAGCUCAACUGUGGAAUUGCUUGGUAUACUGGCAUUCUUGAGCCAUCUAGGGGCGAGCGGAACAAAUGGUGGAGCGGUGAAAUGCGUAGAUAUCAUUUGGAACGCCAACGGUGAAAACAGCUCGCUGGGGAUGUGCUGACGCUGAGACA
rnacentral:rRNA from 1 species